AUACGGAGGGGGCUAGCGUUGUUCGGAAUUACUGGGCGUAAAGCGCGCGUAGGCGGACCAGUCAGUCAGGGGUGAAAUCCCGGGGCUCAACCCCGGAACUGCCUUUGAUACUGCUGGUCUUGAGUUCGGGAGAGGUGAGUGGAAUUCCGAGUGUAGAGGUGAAAUUCGUAGAUAUUCGGAGGAACACCAGUGGCGAAGGCGGCUCACUGGCUCGAUACUGACGCUGAGGUGCGAAAGCGUGGGGAGCAAACAGGAUUAGAUACCCUAGUAGUCC
rnacentral:rRNA from 1 species